rnacentral:lncRNA from 1 species
UGAUUUUAAAUUAAAUUUAAUUUCAUUAUAUAAAAUCAUAAAAGAUAUGGGUAUAUCAAUACUUUUAAAUGAAUCACAAUGUUUUUUUCAGGAUCCUCACAGCAAGGAUCUGAUUGGACUGGGUAAUAUAAACAAUGGAGUUUAUAUUUUUGAUAGAGAGGCUAUAUGUGGAGCCACUCAAGAUAUAAAGCUUUGGCACACUAGGAUGGUGCAUAUGCCCUAUAAUAAAUUGAAACUGUUAGCUGAAAACUCUG